rnacentral:rRNA from 1 species
GACGAACGCUGGCGGCGUGCCUAAUACAUGCAAGUCGAACGCAGUGGGGACGGGUGAGUAACACGUGGGUAACCUCCCAUCAGAGGGGAUAACACUUGGAAACCGGUGCUAAACCGAUACUGAUGGAUGGGCCCGCGGUGCAUUAGCUAGUUGGUGAGGUAACGGCUCACCAAGGCCACGAUGCCUAACGGGCCUGAGAGGAGGAUCGGCCACACUGGGACUGAGACACGGCCCAGACUCCUACGGGAGGCAGCAGUGGGGAAUAUUCGGCAAUGGACGAAAGUCUGAUGCAGCAACGCCGCGUGAGUGAAGAAGGUUUUAGGAUCGUAAAACUCUGUUAGUAGGGAAGCGGUAUCUAAACAGAAAGCAACGGCUAACUCCGUGCCAGCAGCCGCGGUAAUUC